UACGGAGGGUGCAAGCGUUGUCCGGAAUCACUGGGUGUAAAGGGUGUGUAGGCGGGGCAGUAAGUCAGGGGUGAAAGCCUACGGCUUAACCGUAGAAUUGCCUUUGAUACUGCUGGUCUUGAGUCCUGGAGAGGUCGCUGGAAUUCGUGGUGUAGCGGUGAAAUGCGUAGAUAUCACGAGGAACACCAGAGGUGUAGACGGGCGACUGGACAGGUACUGACGCUGAGGCACGAAAGCGUGGGGAGCAAACAGG
rnacentral:rRNA from 1 species